ensembl:lncRNA LINC01088 long intergenic non-protein coding RNA 1088
AGUGAAGGCCUAGACUUUCUCAGACAGAUUUCUUUUAACUCUUCUGCCCUGACUCCAGUCUUCACUGGGAUGCUGCCUUGCACUUAGGGAAGGUUCACAUGCCUCAAGGAUCUCUCUCUCUCAGAUUUCUUGACUUUCCCUCAGUCUUCAGUAUAGUCCUCCUCUGUGCCUGGUGAAGACCUGUGGUAAAGUGCUGGCAGAGCUGCCGGCUUCCCCUUGAAGGAAUAGGAGUAGACCUGCUGAACUAUCACAUGAGAGAAGAGGCCCAAAAGCUUGCACACUACAGUCAAGCUGGCCCUUAAAGAGAUGGACCUAGAAGAUGCUGAGCCAGAUGUACUCAAUUACUUCUCCAAAAUUCAUCAAUUAGGUAAGACACUCUUCCCAUGAAAGGAGGUAGCUGGGGGAGAGGCUGAAGUAAUCCUUCCAUGCUUUGUUUCCUAGGGAAUAGAGUGGACAUUUCCUGCUCAAGGUGGAAAAUUGUGUAGUAAUAAAUGUCCUCAAUACAUAAUUAUCAUCUAUUACCCAGUGGGCAAAUUCCACCACUGCAGAGAUCCAGACUGCAAUACUAGAGGUAGCCAAUAUCUACACAACUCUCUGAGGAAGAGAAAAGGGCCUUUUUCUUCUAUGUUUCUCCUGUAACCCCUAUGGUACUCAUAUAGCAGACCCGAAAGAGUGCCAAUAUAAGAAAAUCAUGAAGUUACUCAAAAAUCAGUCUUACUCUUUUGGUCAGGCUUUUUUCUUCUUUCUUCUUACAUUCUGAAAAACCAAGAUUAUUGAUUUCAAAUGGCAGAUGAUCAGGUACUUUCAAUGUGUUAACAGAUGUCAGUAGUAAAUUGUUCAAUCACUGUUGAAAUGGAUGAAGAAUAACAACAUUUUUUAGUACAUGAUAUUUUGUAAAUGUCAUCAUUUUGGCCUUGUGUUACUUUUCUAGGUAACACUUGGGUAGAAAAAACAGCUAAUUGAAUUUUAUAAAUCUGGUUGAACAUCUAUUGUGUUCAAGCCAUUAUGCCAAGUGCUGUGAAAAAUGCAAAAAGACUAAGACAUACAUAGUUCCUACGUAUAUAUAUGAACAAUUUCAUCCAUAGGCAUUUAUAUUCUGGUAGAAAUAUACUGAAGAAAAUUCCAAUACGGGGAAAGCAAAGAUAGAAUACAAAGUCCAAAGUAAAACAGAACAAACCCUGAACUGCCUAGAUUAAAAAUAAUGGAAAGGAGAUGGAAAAAAAAAAAAA